rfam:Mycoplasma bovigenitalium 51080 contig00010, whole genome shotgun sequence.
GGGGGUGUAAUGGCUUCGACAUGUAAUGGGUAUUAAUAACAUCAGUGGUUUGGUAGACCAUAAUACUUCUAGGCUUUAUAGUCGCAAAAGAUAAAAACAAAGUUCAAGUUGAACUAAAACACUUAGUAGCAGCAAACGCUCUACAAAGUCAUUCAAAUCUAGUUUUUGCGUAAUUUGCAAACUAGUGCAGUUAUAAAUUCGCCUUAAUUUAUUACUGUGGUUUAAAGGCUCGGAAUUAAUUUGUGCAAAAUUAAUUCUUAAAAAUAGGCACAACCACAAAUAAGCUUUUGCUUAUUUAGUUUAUUUGUGGCAUAUAAAUAAGCUAAACUGUAAAAAGUGUUAUUAUGUCUCAUUAUGUGGACACGGGUUCAACUCCCGUCAUCUCCACCA